CCCUUCUCUCUUCUACUCUUCCAGCUGUGGCGCCGCAGCGCGCUCGUUCGUGCUCGCCCCGACGCCCUCCCCUGGUAGCUUCCACAUUUGUUGUGCUCGCACGAAGCCCCACCGUCCUCCCGCGCGUCGCCGUAGAGCUCCAACCAGAACCAAAAAAAGCUGCAAUCGGCGCAUCGCCGUCGAUGCUGAGCGGAAGCGGCAGCCGAGCGUGCGUGCUACCACGGGGCGUGGAAAAGCUGCAUCCGGCUGACGGGGAAGCUGCUACCGGCACUCGCAGAAGCUGCGAUGACGACGACCCGCAAGAUGGCGACGUGCUGGAACCGGGGAAGCGGGAUGCUGCAACCAGCGAAGUUUUUUGCUGCCACCGUUGAUGAGAGAUUGGAGGAUGCCAAAGUGCAUGCUAGCAAGCAGUCUUCUCCCACUGUGAUGCAAUCGUCGGAAAUUUGUUGUGGUGGUGGCAUGGCACGUGAUACAGGAAGUCUUGAGUCAUUUGGAAGAUGGAGAUGCAGACUGCCGUGAUUGGUCUGCUUGUCAUCGAUGUGAGCCGUAAAUGUGGUCACUCGACGGUUGUGAUUUGUGAAGCUGCCAUGCUGCACAUGUAAUGGCAGCCUACAUUCAUCCUUCCAUGCACAGUUACUCAAUAGAGGACAAAUUGGAGGACUGGUCCAAUUGACAGGCACUCUUUACAUCGGUGGGUUGUGUGUCUACAACUAGCACCGUGAUGGCCAAGGAAGAUAAUACAUCGUUGUCUGCAGUCCGAUUGUAGACGGCACUGUGGAGAAGCUAGCUCUAAAUUAUUUGUUGAAAUUAGUAUGUGUGCUAACCGUGUUUGUUUGAUGGCGUUGGCACUUGGCAAUGAGCCAACCUUAGUAUGUUUACGGCAAAGCCAUGCAAAAGUGCACUGAAACAAUGAGACCAAUGUGAUGCCUUACAGGCAAAACAAGCAUGGAAGCAUGACCUUUGGUGAAUGUAUUGCAUUCAGUUAAUUCAGGUAAAGUGCAUGCAUAUACAUACCUUACCUAUGCUAUGGACACCUCUGUCUAGGUAGGCUAGUUAUAUAUAUGGUUUGUUGUACUGGAGCUGCUAUAGAAGGUAUCACACGAGAGAACUAACAUACUCGUAGUUAGCCAGCCCUUGACAAUGAAUAUGUCACAAAACAAGAGCUCGUGUAUCACGGCCCAAGGUUAAUGAAUGUUUAAAUUAACUUCUGCAUGGGAGAUUGGAGCGAACCAAACCACAAUCACAUCAGGCGAAGGACACAUAAGAAGACGCUUGUACCAGUACCAAAAUUUAGCCAUACUUCCACCGGUGAACUGUGGGGACUUAGCUAGUCUUGAGUUCCGAAUCAUAGGAGUGUUGUAGUGGACGGCUCAAUGAGUGAGGAAGUGCUUUGUACUUCUGCAUCUCUAAAUUAUUCCGUUUACGUUUAGUAGGUGGUUUGAACAUCUCCGUUGAAAACCAAAUGUCUCAAAAAUAUUAGCAUUGCACCUAGCAUCUGGAAUGGACUUCACACUGGGGCUCAGUGUAGGCAUAAAUGUUGUACUAGCUUCAUCAUGUGGCUGCAAUUUGUUGGACUAUUUGGGAUUGUUUUUGAAACAAACUGAUUAUACCUUCUGCUGAACUAUGUAAUGCUCAUUUAUUAAGAAUUGUGCGAUCUUUUGACACGGA